CGGAUAUCUUAAUUAAAUCUACUUUACCUACGAAAGAUAUAUAUAUAUAUAUAUAUAUAUGCCUCGAUGAACAAACACGUAUAAACACGUGUAAAUCGAUACACGUCAACGUUCGAUCGAUUGUUCUCCGAAGAAUAGGCGAAUAAGCGUCAUUCUAUAUAUUACGCGUGACGAUCGUAUUUUCCUCCGAUCGGGAAAGAUCGAUCAAUUAUCAUCGGCGAUACACGACGAUUUACGACGAGAAAAGUUACAGCUACGAGGUUAUCGACAGACGGACAGACACCGAGAGAAGAAUAAUUACAUCGGGCGCAAUUGAAUCGAAACCGCGGCAUCUCGAAAACCAAGCUACAAUUUAUAUACAACCGGUGUAUAUACACACAUUCUCUCGGAAUAUUUAUCGAUACGAUUACCCUAUUCCUCCUCCCAUAAAAUAAUCUGUCAAUGUUGGAAUGGAACGAUCUUCGCCCGAUCUUUGAACCGAUAUCCAACAACGCCCACGUAAGGCGAAUCCUCUUUCCGCCUACGGUCGCGCUCAUAGAAACACGCCGUAACACGCUGCUCGAACAUGGCUACCCUCUAUUCAUCGCGAGGAUUACCGCGGACGAACGAGGUUAGACGAAAGUUUUUUUUCCCCUCCGCGUGUCGUCCAUUGUGAAAUGUGCGCGAAUGUUCCGAAAGAAAGAAAGAAAAAUAAGGGAGAGUGCAACGAUGUGAUAAUUUAUCGUGAUUUAUAAGCGAAUUUGACCAGGAAGAGUCAAAGGUUCGAGAAGCAUUCGUGAGAAUUUUUCUUCUCUGAGGAAAAAAAUUAUUCGAUGGAAAGUUCUUUCGAUUUGACGAUACGCGGCGAAUACGAUGCCACGGGAUACGGAUCGUUCUCUUAAGAGAAACAUGCACCGACAACGCCCACGUGCAAAUACAGACAGUCGGUAAUAUGUUUCGUACGUCAUCUAGCUACGCGUUCGUUCGCAAGGCACGCGAUCACGAUGUUUUUUCGCGAAGUGUAAAGAGAAAAACAAAAAUGGAAUGGAAAAACUAGUUCUCCAUUGAUACCUACCGAGUGUCCAUUCCGAUCGAAAUAUCGAAAUCGGUCGAUAAAGGCAAGGAAUUCGAUCGAGGGAAAAGAGCACCCUCUCGUUGACUCUCUCGUGAUCGUGAAAUUGUUAUGCCGCGAUCAUCCUCUAUAUUUAUUCCGUAUCGUCGUUGCUGGGGAUACUGGUCUACGUCGAUGUUGUUCCAGAGAGGUGGCUGAACAGAGGGACCCAGGUUGUAUCGCGUGGAUAACGCGCCAACGUUUCGCCAAGGUUUAUGGACCGUGACGUCCCGCAUCGGCAAGGGGGAUAGAAACGAAACGUUUCGAAUAAACUGUGGACGAAUAUUCGAAGAAAUUUCCUGGCGUUAAAACGAAAUUUCGAAUUCUCGAUGCCAGAAAUUUCAAAGAUACUCGAUAGUAUCUUUAUCUGGCUUGAGAAAGGCGCGCCUGUCGAAUUCCAAUGUAAAACCGAAGGAAAAAUAUCGAGAAAAAAAAAAAGGAAAUUUCAAAAAGAGCUCGCAAGUUGAUUAAAAAAUUAAAAAAAAUUCUCAAGAAAAAAGAAAUAAGAUAGAAACAUUAAUUUUUAAUAUAUGGUUUUUUACUUGAUCUCUUUAUAAUUAUCGGUCUCUUCUAGGGAAAAUACAACCAGCGCCACGCAUUUUUCGCUUCGCUGAUCUGUCCACGCGGUCGAUCAUUAUGACUGUCGAAUUUUUCACGGGGUAACGCGCUUCGGUACUUUAUAUUACCGUUAUUAAGCAGCCACCAUUAAUCGCGAGUUUAUUAAAUGUUGGCUGAGGAAAAAAAAAAGAGAUGAGCGGUCGGUGGCGUCUUCCCUCUCUUCGAACAUAUAUAUAUAUACAUAUAUAUCAUAUACAUACCACGUGCCUUAACCUAACCUCCUCUCGUCGUUAAUGAUCCCGUCGAUAAAUCAAACGAACGCGGAACGAACCACUGAUCCCCCUAUCUCUUCGGAGGCCUGUUUAAGAAGCAGAGGCGAAAUUGGACCGCGAUCCAAGCAUUCUUUCCACGCCUAUUGCGGCGCAAACGUAAUAUCUAGAUCUAGAUAUCCAAGGAUCGAUCGAUUUAUCGAAAGUUAACCGUAAAGUGAUGGAAAUAAAAUAACGGGGGACUCUGUUCGUUCGCGCACGAUUUUUCGAAAUGGAGUUGUCAACCAUUUGAGAUUUUUGCCCUGGUUAAAGCUAUAUCGACUCGUUAUCGCGAGUCGAUCGAUAUUUUCAUUCUUCCAUACUUUCUUUCUCCUCCCCCUCUUUCUUUUCUUCUCCUCUCCUCUACUGUUCGCGGGGAAUAUAUCCUCGAUGUUCGAGAUAACAAUCGGCGUUUGGUAUCCCGGCUCGUAACUCGGCCAUCCCGAAUGAUCGGAAUCGGUCGGCUGUCGAAAAGGAUUCUUUCCAACCAUAUGGAACCGUACUCGUUCCGCAUGGUAAGCCAUAAUUUAUCGCGUUCCCUCCGGCAUGGGAACAGGGGUAUUCUUAGAGUUGUGUAGUAGCUUCCUGUGUUAUUAAUCAAGAUACAUCGAACGGUUGCACGCGUUUCUCAACUGUUUGAUAAGUUAUUGCAUUCGAUGCAAAUUCUUCUGCUCGAUCGUGUGCAACCGCGGAGCAUCAUCGUUUUUUUUUUUUUUUCUCAAAAAUUGUGGCUUCGUUUCAGAGCUCGUCUUGGCUGUUUCGGACGGUGACAAAAAAUUAGUCCAAGUUGCGAAUAAAGUUAUUUCGAUUAUUUAUCGUUCGAAAUGAUAAUUGGAAGUAAUUGUAACGAGAUUAUUGACAUGAGAAGCGGAUCGGUUAUAAUAGUUAUUAGAAUAAAUGUUAUUUUAAUAAGUAACUUCAUUCGAGAUGCCCAACUCUGUUUCUAACUAGUUUCAAUCUUUGCAUCUAUGAAUAUUUAUAUACAUAACGAUUUGGUCGAAAAUUAAUAAAAUUCUAAUCCUUUCCUUAACACACUAUAUUCAUAUAUCCAAUAAAUUUAGAAUUUCGAUACGGAUAGAUUUAUUAUUUAAUUAAUUGCAAAUACUUGUACGCAUGACGAUUCAAUUUGGUCGAAAAUUAAUAAAAUUCUAAUCCUUUCCUUGACUCGCUAUAUUUGUAUAAAUUUAGAAUUUCGAUACGGAAGGAUCGUUUAUUUAAUUGCGUACAAAUAUUUGCAUUCAAUUUGGUCGAUAAUUAAAUGAAAUUUUUUUCUUCUUUAAUUCGAUCCUUAUCCGAUAAUUUAUUGGGACGAAUCGUUAUAAAAAAAUAAACAUAUUAUUUUCUAGUCGUGGGGAAAAUUUAAUAGUCGAAAAAUUACUUUCACAAAGUUAUUUCGAUAAUUUAUCGUUAAUAACAAUUGAAAAUAAUGCUGAAGAUGAGAAAACGGAUCGAUUGUAAUAAAUAAUUUUAUUCGAGAUUUUUAACCAUUUUACUUUUUCAGAAAUGCCCAACUCUGCUUUCGGACGAUUGCGAAAGAAAAAAAGAAAUGCGGCUACUUCCGAAAUAUUAUUUAUUAAUUAUUUAUUAUAUAUAUUACAUAAUAUUAUAUAAUUAUUUAUUAAUAAAGACGCCUCAACUCGUCAAUGAUAUUGGAAUUGCCGAGGGAUCGUGAAACAAGGAUAGCGAAUCGCGAUUUUUCAUUCACUUUCAUCGGAAGAUUGAUGGAUUCUCUUUACUCGAACGAAAGAGAGAGAGAAAAAAAAAAGGAAAGAAAAAAAAGCUGAAUAACGAUUCAUCAUGCUCGAGACACCAUAAAAAUAUUGUUAUCGUACAAUCCCAGUAUCGGUUUUUCCGUUAACAACUUCGAGCCAACAACAUGGCCAACAGUUUUCGCACGAACGCGACGUUGCAACGUUUCAGACCGCUCGCCUCUAAAUGCAUUAACAUUUUAUAGAACAUGGGUGUGCGUGUGCGCGUGCGCGUAUUUAUUUGUCCCUCGUCCCGAGGAGCUUGCAAGUGUCGCCACACGGGAAUUAUACGAAAACGAGAAACGACUCGUUAAACUAGAAAUUCUAGAGAUUCGUAUUAAUCGAAGAGAAUAUAAUACGUAUCGUGCGCGAACGAUGGAGAAUCGAGGAUCGCUUCCUCCUGUGAUGACAGUUCACCGACCCCUUUAUAUAGCGAGAACUUCUCUAAAAAAUACACGCUACCCCUCCUCUUCCCCCUCCCCCCUAUUCAAGGCUAGCCACUUCGUGUUUGCAUUGUAUUUUAGAAUCUACGUUUAUGCGUUUUACCGUUCUCGGCUCUCGCCUCGAUCUCUCGUUGAACUGCCACCGCUUUCGCACUUCGCCGCCAGGCGGACACACAAAGUUUAGGUGUUUAUCUACAGGGAGAAUGGUGGAGGGGGGAUUGGAAAAGCAUCGACUAUAGUAUAUAGGGAGGAUAUAUUCUUAAAAAUAUCCAACUUUUCUUCCUCGAUUUCUCAAGCAAUUUCGAGAGAGAAUUCAUACGGGAACGCGUACACGUGUGGAAUGGAGGUUAUGCGUGUUCUAUAGGAAACAUUUCUAUAAACGGUGAUUCGUGAACGGCGUUGUAAAUGAAAUAUCAAAAUUACAGGUAUCCCGUGUAUGUGUGUGUGUAUGUAUAUAUAUACGCAAGGCAGUAAAGUACGCUUUUAUACCUAUUAAGGGAUACCUAUAAAGGAUGGCGAGCGGCGCUUCCUUCUCGAAGAAAGCUCGAAGGGAGCGAAGAGAACGAAUCUUUCGAGAUGGAUAAAAGCGAAAUUUUUAAUUGUCUAAAUUUUUUUUUUUACUACUUAUCUAUAACUAGUUUCACCGAUUUUGUUCGAAGAUUGUUAAUUAUCGAAUUAAAAUUUUGGAAGAAAUUCGGAUGAGAGAAGCGACAUUUUUUUUUUUUUUCACAAGAUUUAUCUUCUAUCAUGAGAAUGGAAAUGAAACUCGAGAGAGAGGGAAUGGAGUUGGCAUUUAAAAAAAAAAUGGAUCCCGAGCAAGUGGAUUUCUGGCAAAAAGGUGAACGAGUUUUUGGAUAGCAACGAAUAAUAAUAAUAAUAAUAAUAAUAAUAAUAAAAGUGAAUGGUACAUAAUUGUAGAUGCAUAAUCGAUUUCAAGGUAUCGAAUAUUUAAAAAUAAAGUUAAUUCGCAUUUGCAUGUAAAUUUUCCACAGGGUUGUCGCCUCCUCUCUCUUUCGACCUUGCCUCCUUUCGAUCACGCAGCGAUACUCGAUGUUCAUGAAAAAAAAAAAAAA